GGGGUGAUUCUAUAGCUAGAGGACUCCUGUUAUCUCCAGGGGUGAUUCUCUAGCUAGAGGACUCCUGUUAUCUCCAGGGGGUGAUUCUAUAGCUAGAGGACUCCUGUUAUCUCCAGGGGUGAUUCUCUAGCUAGAGUCCUGUUAUCUCCUGGGGUGAUUCUACAGCUAGAGGAAUCCUGUUAUCUCCAGGGGUGAUUCUAUAGCUAGAGGACUCCUGUUAUCUCCAGGGGUGAUUCUAUAGCUAGAGGACUCCUGAUAUCUCCUGUUAUCUCCAGGGGUGAUUCUAUAGCUAGAGGACUCCUGUUAUCUCCUGUUAUCUCCAGGGGUGAUUCUAUAGCUAGAGGACUCCUGUUAUCUCCAGGGGUGAUUCUAUAGCUAGAGGACUCCUGUUAUCUCCAGGGGUGAAUCUAUAGCUAGAAGACUCCUGUUAUCUCCAGGGGUGAUUCUAUAGCUAGAGGACUCCUGUUAUCUCCAGGGGUGGAUCUAUAGCUAGAGGACUCCUGAUAUCUCCAGGGGUGAUUCUAUAGCUAGAGGAUUCCUGUUAUCUUCAGGGGUGAUUCUAUAGCUAGAGGACUCCUGUUAUCUCCAGGGGUGAUUCUCUAGCUAGACUCCUGUUAUCUCCAGGGGUGAUUCUAUAGCUAGAGGAAUCCUGUUAUCUCCAGGGGUGAUUCUAUAGCUAGAGGACUCCUGUUAUCUCCAGGGGUGAUUCUAUAGCUAGAGGACUCCUGAUAUCUCUUGUUAUCUCCAGGGGUGAUUCUAUAGCUAGAGGACUCCUGAUAUCUCCUGUUAUCUCCAGGGGUGAUUCUAUAGCUAGAGGACUCCUGUUAUCUCCAGGGGUGAUUCUAUAGCUAGAGGACUCCUGUUAUCUCCAGGGGUGAUUCUAUAGCUAGAGGACUCCUGUUAUCUCCAGGGGUGAUUCUAUAGCUAGAGGACUCCUGUUAUCUGCAGGGGUGAUUAUAUAGCUAGAGGACUCCUGUUAUCUGCAGGGGUGAUGCUAUAGCUAGAGGACUCCUGUUAUCUCCUGAUAUCUCCAGGGGUGAUUCUAUAGCUAGAGGACUCCUGUUUUCUCCAGGGGUGAAUCUAUAGCUAGAGGACUCCUGUUAUCUCCAGGGGUGAUUCUAUAGCUAGAGGACUCCUGUUAUCUCCAGGGGUGAUUCUAUAGCUAGAGGAAUCCUGUUAUCUUCAGGGGUGAUUCUAUAGCUAGAGGACUCCUUUUAUCUCCAGGGGUGAUUCUAUAACUAAAGGACUCCUGUUAUCUCCAGGGGUGAUUCUAUAGCUAGAGGACUCCUGUUAUCUCUAGGGGUGAUUCUAUAGCUAGAGGACUCCUGUUAUCUCUUGUUAUCUCCAGGGGUGAUUCUAUAGCUAGAGGACUCCUGUUAUCUCCAGGGGUGAUUCUAUAGCUAGAGGACUCCUGUUUUCUGCAGGGGUGAUGCUAUAGCUAAGGGACUCCUGUUAUCUCCUGUUAUCUCCAGGGGUGAUUCUAUAGCUAGAGGACUCCUGUUAUCUCCUUUUAUCUCCAGGGGUGAUUCUAUAACUAAAGGACUCCUGUUAUCUUCAGGGGUGAUUAUAUAGCUAGAGGAAUCCUGUUAUCUUCAGGGGUGAUUCUAUAGCUAGAGGACUCCUUUUAUCUCCAGGGGUUAUUCUACAACUAAAGGACUCCUGUUAUCUCCAGGGGUGAUUCUAUAGCUAGAGGACUCCUGUUAUCUCCAGGGGUGAUUCUAUAGCUAGAGGACUCCUGUUAUCUCUUGUUAUCUCCAGGGGUGAUUCUAUAGCUAGAGGACUCCUGUUAUUUCCAGGGGUGAUUCUAUAACUAAAGGACUCCUGUUAUCUCCAGGGGUGAUUCUAUAGCUAGAGGACUCCUGUUAUCUCCAGGGGUGAUUCUAUAGCUAGAGGACUCCUGUUAUCUGCAGGGGUGAUGCUAUAGCUAGAGGACUCCUGUUAUCUCCUGAUAUCUCCAGGGGUGAUUCUAUAGCUAGAGGACUCCUGUUAUCUCCAGGGGUGAUUCUAUAGCUAGAGGACUCCUGAUAUCUCCUGUUAUCUCCAGGGGUGAUUCUAUAGCUAAAGGACUCCUGAUAUCUCUUGUUAUCUCCAGGGGUGAUUCUAUAGCUAGAGGACUCCUGUUAUCUCCAGGGGUGAUUCUAUAGCUAGAGGACUCCUGAUAUCUCCUGUUAUCUCCAGGGGUGAUUCUAUAGCUAGAGGACUCCUG
ensembl:lncRNA